rnacentral:rRNA from 1 species
GGGAAUCUACCGUGCCCUGCGGAAUAGCUCCGGGAAACUGGAAUUAAUACCGCAUACGCCCUACGGGGGAAAGAUUUAUCGGGGUAUGAUGAGCCCGCGUUGGAUUAGCUAGUUGGUGGGGUAAAGGCCUACCAAGGCGACGAUCCAUAGCUGGUCUGAGAGGAUGAUCAGCCACAUUGGGACUGAGACACGGCCCAAACUCCUACGGGAGGCAGCAGUGGGGAAUAUUGGACAAUGGGCGCAAGCCUGAUCCAGCCAUGCCGCGUGAGUGAUGAAGGCCUUAGGGUUGUAAAGCUCUUUCACCGGUGAAGAUAAUGACGGUAACCGGAGAAGAAGCCCCGGCUAACUUCGUGCCAGCAGCCGCGGUAAUACGAAGGGGGCUAGCGUUGUUCGGAAUUACUGGGCGUAAGGCGCACGUAGGCGGAUAUUUAAGUCAGGGGUGAAAUCCCAGAGCUCAACUCUGGAACUGCCUUUGAUACUGGGUAUCUUGAGUAUGGAAGAGGUAAGUGGAAUUGCGAGU